rnacentral:rRNA from 1 species
UACGGGGGGGGCAAGCGUUGUUCGGAAUUACUGGGCGUAAAGGGUUCGUAGGUGGCCAACUAAGUCAGACGUGAAAUCCCUCAGCUUAACUGGGGAACUGCGUCUGAUACUGAUUGGCUUGAGUGCAGGAGAGGAACGCGGAAUUCCAGGUGUAGCGGUGAAAUGCGUAGAUAUCUGGAGGAACACCGGUGGCGAAGGCGGCGUUCUGGACUGCAACUGACACUGAGGAACGAAGGCUAGGGUAGCGAAAGGG